AUUCAGUCCAGCCCAGCUGCUCAGAAUUUAUAAACCAGGCCUUUGCAUUGUGACUGAACUGCAUCAGACAAGCAGGGGGAGCAAUAUGGAAUCACAGACCCAUGUCCUCAUGUUCCUGCUCCUCUGGGUAUCUGGUACCUGUGCGGACAUCAUGAUGACCCAAUCUCCAUCCUCCCUGGCUGUGUCAGCAGGAGAGAAGGUCACUAUAAGCUGCAAGUCCAGUCAGAGCCUUUUAUCUAGUGGAAACCAAAAGAACUACUUGGCCUGGUACCAACAGAAACCAGGGCAGCCUCCUAAACUGCUGAUAUACUUGGCAUCCACUAGGGAAUCUGGGGUCCCUGAUCGCUUUACAGGCAGUGGAUCUGGGACAGAUUUCACUCUCACCAUCAGCAGUGUGCAGGCUGAAGACCUGGCAGAUUAUUACUGUCAGCAGCAUUAUGGUACUCCUCCCACAGUGCUUCAGCCUCCUACACAAACCUCAUUGAGAGUGUAA